GACCACUUCGGUGACCUAAAUGGUUAGAGCAUCCGCCUAAUAUGUGGAAGGUCGCGAGUUCGAACCCCGGCCUAGUCA